ACUAAGCGUACACGGUGGAUGCCCUGGCAGUCAGAGGCGAUGAAGGACGUGCUAAUCUGCGAUAAGCGUCGGUAAGGUGAUAUGAACCGUUAUAACCGGCGAUUUCCGAAUGGGGAAACCCAGUGUGUUUCGACACACUAUCAUUAACUGAAUCCAUAGGUUAAUGAGGCGAACCGGGGGAACUGAAACAUCUAAGUACCCCGAGGAAAAGAAAUCAACCGAGAUUCCCCCAGUAGCGGCGAGCGAACGGGGAGGAGCCCAGAGCCUGAAUCAGUGUGUGUGUUAGUGGAAGCGUCUGGAAAGGCGCGCGAUACAGGGUGACAGCCCCGUACACAAAAAUGCACAUAUUGUGAGCUCGAUGAGUAGGGCGGGACACGUGGUAUCCUGUCUGAAUAUGGGGGGACCAUCCUCCAAGGCUAAAUACUCCUGACUGACCGAUAGUGAACCAGUACCGUGAGGGAAAGGCGAAAAGAACCCCGGCGAGGGGAGUGAAAAAGAACCUGAAACCGUGUACGUACAAGCAGUGGGAGCACGCUUAGGCGUGUGACUGCGUACCUUUUGUAUAAUGGGUCAGCGACUUAUAUUCUGUAGCAAGGUUAACCGAAUAGGGGAGCCGAAGGGAAACCGAGUCUUAACUGGGCGUUAAGUUGCAGGGUAUAGACCCGAAACCCGGUGAUCUAGCCAUGGGCAGGUUGAAGGUUGGGUAACACUAACUGGAGGACCGAACCGACUAAUGUUGAAAAAUUAGCGGAUGACUUGUGGCUGGGGGUGAAAGGCCAAUCAAACCGGGAGAUAGCUGGUUCUCCCCGAAAGCUAUUUAGGUAGCGCCUCGUGAAUUCAUCUCCGGGGGUAGAGCACUGUUUCGGCAAGGGGGUCAUCCCGACUUACCAACCCGAUGCAAACUGCGAAUACCGGAGAAUGUUAUCACGGGAGACACACGGCGGGUGCUAACGUCCGUCGUGAAGAGGGAAACAACCCAGACCGCCAGCUAAGGUCCCAAAGUCAUGGUUAAGUGGGAAACGAUGUGGGAAGGCCCAGACAGCCAGGAUGUUGGCUUAGAAGCAGCCAUCAUUUAAAGAAAGCGUAAUAGCUCACUGGUCGAGUCGGCCUGCGCGGAAGAUGUAACGGGGCUAAACCAUGCACCGAAGCUGCGGCAGCGACGCUGAUGCGUUGUUGGGUAGGGGAGCGUUCUGUAAGCCUGCGAAGGUGUGCUGUGAGGCAUGCUGGAGGUAUCAGAAGUGCGAAUGCUGACAUAAGUAACGAUAAAGCGGGUGAAAAGCCCGCUCGCCGGAAGACCAAGGGUUCCUGUCCAACGUUAAUCGGGGCAGGGUGAGUCGACCCCUAAGGCGAGGCCGAAAGGCGUAGUCGAUGGGAAACAGGUUAAUAUUCCUGUACUUGGUGUUACUGCGAAGGGGGGACGGAGAAGGCUAUGUUGGCCGGGCGACGGUUGUCCCGGUUUAAGCGUGUAGGCUGGUUUUCCAGGCAAAUCCGGAAAAUCAAGGCUGAGGCGUGAUGACGAGGCACUACGGUGCUGAAGCAACAAAUGCCCUGCUUCCAGGAAAAGCCUCUAAGCAUCAGGUAACAUCAAAUCGUACCCCAAACCGACACAGGUGGUCAGGUAGAGAAUACCAAGGCGCUUGAGAGAACUCGGGUGAAGGAACUAGGCAAAAUGGUGCCGUAACUUCGGGAGAAGGCACGCUGAUAUGUAGGUGAAGUCCCUCGCGGAUGGAGCUGAAAUCAGUCGAAGAUACCAGCUGGCUGCAACUGUUUAUUAAAAACACAGCACUGUGCAAACACGAAAGUGGACGUAUACGGUGUGACGCCUGCCCGGUGCCGGAAGGUUAAUUGAUGGGGUUAGCCGCAAGGCGAAGCUCUUGAUCGAAGCCCCGGUAAACGGCGGCCGUAACUAUAACGGUCCUAAGGUAGCGAAAUUCCUUGUCGGGUAAGUUCCGACCUGCACGAAUGGCGUAAUGAUGGCCAGGCUGUCUCCACCCGAGACUCAGUGAAAUUGAACUCGCUGUGAAGAUGCAGUGUACCCGCGGCAAGACGGAAAGACCCCGUGAACCUUUACUAUAGCUUGACACUGAACAUUGAGCCUUGAUGUGUAGGAUAGGUGGGAGGCUUGGAAGUGUGGACGCCAGUCUGCAUGGAGCCGACCUUGAAAUACCACCCUUUAAUGUUUGAUGUUCUAACGUUGACCCGUAAUCCGGGUUGCGGACAGUGUCUGGUGGGUAGUUUGACUGGGGCGGUCUCCUCCUAAAGAGUAACGGAGGAGCACGAAGGUUGGCUAAUCCUGGUCGGACAUCAGGAGGUUAGUGCAAUGGCAUAAGCCAGCUUGACUGCGAGCGUGACGGCGCGAGCAGGUGCGAAAGCAGGUCAUAGUGAUCCGGUGGUUCUGAAUGGAAGGGCCAUCGCUCAACGGAUAAAAGGUACUCCGGGGAUAACAGGCUGAUACCGCCCAAGAGUUCAUAUCGACGGCGGUGUUUGGCACCUCGAUGUCGGCUCAUCACAUCCUGGGGCUGAAGUAGGUCCCAAGGGUAUGGCUGUUCGCCAUUUAAAGUGGUACGCGAGCUGGGUUUAGAACGUCGUGAGACAGUUCGGUCCCUAUCUGCCGUGGGCGCUGGAGAACUGAGGGGGGCUGCUCCUAGUACGAGAGGACCGGAGUGGACGCAUCACUGGUGUUCGGGUUGUCAUGCCAAUGGCACUGCCCGGUAGCUAAAUGCGGAAGAGAUAAGUGCUGAAAGCAUCUAAGCACGAAACUUGCCCCGAGAUGAGUUCUCCCUGACCCUUUAAGGGUCCUGAAGGAACGUUGAAGACGACGACGUUGAUAGGCCGGGUGUGUAAGCGCAGCGAUGCGUUGAGCUAACCGGUACUAAUGAACCGUGAGGCUUAACC
rnacentral:rRNA from 2 species